rnacentral:rRNA from 1 species
UGGCAGCAGUGGGGAAUUUUGGACAAUGGGGGCAACCCUGAUCCAGCCAUUCCGCGUGAGUGAAGAAGGCCUUCGGGUUGUAAAGCUCUUUCAGCCGGAAAGAAACGGUGCGCUCUAACAUAGCGUGCUAAUGACGGUACCGGCAGAAGAAGCACCGGCUAACUACGUGCCAGCAGCCGCGGUAAUACGUAGGGUGCGAGCGUUAAUCGGAAUUACUGGGCGUAAAGCGUGCGCAGGCGGAUUGUUAAGCAAGAUGUGAAAUCCCCGGGCUUAACCUGGGAAUGGCAUUUUGAACUGGCAGUCUAGAGUGUGGCAGAGGGGGGUGGAAUUCCACGUGUAGCAGUGAAAUGCGUAGAGAUGUGGAGGAACACCGAUGGCGAAGGCAGCCCCCUGGGAUAACACUGACGCUCAUGUACGAAAGCGUGGGUAGCAAACAGGAUUAGAUACCCUUGUAGUC